rnacentral:rRNA from 1 species
GACGAACGCUGGCGGCGUGCCUAAUACAUGCAAGUAGAACGCUGAAGAGAGGAGCUUGCUCUUCUUGGAUGAGUUGCGAACGGGUGAGUAACGCGUAGGUAACCUGCCUUGUAGCGGGGGAUAACUAUUGGAAACGAUAGCUAAUACCGCAUAACAAUGGAUGACACAUGUCAUUUAUUUGAAAGGGGCAAUUGCUCCACUACAAGAUGGACCUGCGUUGUAUUAGCUAGUAGGUGAGGUAAUGGCUCACCUAGGCGACGAUACAUAGCCGACCUGAGAGGGUGAUCGGCCACACUGGGACUGAGACACGGCCCAGACUCCUACGGGAGGCAGCAGUAGGGAAUCUUCGGCAAUGGGGGCAACCCUGACCGAGCAACACCGCGUGAGUGAAGAAGGUUUUCGGAUCGUAAAGCUCUGUUGUAAGUCAAGAACGGGUGUGAGAGUGGAAAGUUCACACUGUGACGGUAGCUUACCAGAAAGGGACGGCUAACUACGUG